rnacentral:rRNA from 1 species
ACGGCUCAGUAACACGUAGGCAACUGCCCUGAAGACGGGGAUAACCUUGGGAAACUGAGGAUAAUACCCGAUAGAGAAAAGAUACUGGAAUGUUCUUUUCUCCAAAUCACUUGUGGCUUCAGGAUGGGCCUGCGGCGGAUUAGGCUGUUGGUGAGGUAACGGCUCACCAAACCUAUGAUCUGUAAGGGCAAUGAAAGUUGGAGCCCUGAGAAGGGGACUGAGACAAGGCCCCUAGCCCUACGGGGUGCAGCAGUUACGAAACUUUUACAAUGCGCGAAAGCGUGAUAAAGAGACUCCGAGUGAUUUUACGAGAGUAAGAUCUUUCGUCGAGUGUGAAUAGCUUGGCGAAUAAGGACUGGGCAAGACCCGUGCCAGCCGCCGCGGUAAUACGGGCAGUCCGAGUGGUAUCCACGUAUAUUUGGCUUAAAGCGUCCGUAGCUGGUUUGGAAAGUUCUUGGUGAAAGCUUGUGGCUUAACCAUGAGAAGUGCUAAGAAAACUUCCAGACUUGGAGGCGGGAGAGGUCAGGGGUACUUUUUGGGUAGCGGUAAAAUGUUAUAAUCCUUAAAGGACCACCGGUAGCGAAGGCGCCUGACUGGAACGCGCUCGACAGUGAGGGACGAAGGCUAGGGGAGCAACCGGGAUUAGAUACCCCGUUAGUCCUAGCAGUAAAUUAUGCAAACUAGGUGUCCUGCAACCUACGUGGUUAUGGGGUG